rnacentral:misc_RNA from 1 species
AAUUCUCAACCUUAUUAGCUUUUGCUGAUAAUGGCUUGGACUUGGGGGUCUUUUGCUGGCUUUCAUUAGUCUGCUCCCCUUAAAUGUAUUAGCUGGCGCCCCGCAGUGGACCGUCUAUUGGUGUGAUAAUUAUCUACGCCGUGGAUGUCUGCUUUCAAUGGGUCUUUGCGCUGCUUCAAAUCGUCCUCUCGGACAAUACAAAUGACA